rnacentral:rRNA from 1 species
UACGUAGGGUGCAAGCGUUAUCCGGAUUUACUGGGUGUAAAGGGAGCGUAGACGGAUUAGCAAGUCAGAUGUGAAAGGCGGGGGCUUAACCCCUGGAUUGCAUUUGAAACUGCGGAUCUUGAGUACCGGAAGGGCAGAUGGAAUUCCUGGUGUAGCGGUGAAAUGCGUAGAGAUCAGGAGGAACACCGGUGGCGAAAGCGGUCUGCUGGACGGUAACUGACGUUGAGGCGCGAAGGCGUGGGGAGCAAACAGG